UAUCGGAUCGUUUUAGAAACAUCAGUGGCCAACAGAUCGCCAGAUCGUUGAGCUGCAUUGGCGGGAUUUCGCCGUCUACGUUUCUCUUUCUUCGCGGACGAACACGCGCUGGGCCUGCGUCAAGCAGGAUCCCACGGUCCCUGACGGGAUAUGCGUUAGGGGCUUGUAGCUCAGUUGGUUAGAGCGCGCGCUUGAUAAGCGUGAGGUCGGAAGUUCAAGUCUUCCCAGGCCCACCACUUUCAUCGAGUGAGCAUUCGUCUUCUGGUUACGGGGCCAUAGCUCAGCUGGGAGAGCGCGUGCUUUGCAAGCAUGAGGUCGUCGGUUCGAUCCCGUCUGGCUCCACCAGAUGGUUUGAUCACCGAGAUCUUGUACCGUCGUCCGCGAAACAUCACUUCGCAUCCUGCUAGUCUGGAUAGACAGCAAGAUGCGUGUUUUCUGACAUCGUAAAGAGGAGAUCGAUCCGAGUUGGGUCGUGUAGCAGAUUGCUGCGCGGAUCCUUCAUUAUCUCCGGAUCAUUUUCGGCGCUCGACGCUGACCGCAAGGUUGGCUGCGAGUUGUAAAAUGAUCCUUUUAGCGAAGCUUGACCGCCUCGCUAUCGGAACGAUCUUACGAAGCAAGCUGGUCUUUCUAGUCAAUGUCCGGCUGCAGAUAGCGUUCAUCGAGGGCGCGUGCCGCAAGGUAAUUCUGCAGACAACAUUCUGCCGAGUGUGUGGACAUUGAUAAUGAGAGCAAUCAAGUGCCUUAAGGGUGUUCGGUGGAUGCCUUGGCGCUGAGAGGCGAUGAAAGACGUGCUACGCUGCG
rnacentral:tRNA from 1 species